rnacentral:sRNA from 1 species
UGGUUGCAGGGUCUGGCGAGUUCAGUUUGUAUUGGCUGUUGGCUUUGUUGAAGUAGUCCUCUGGAAGACUUACAGACAAAUGCCCUCAUUUCCAUCUCUUUCUCAGGAGGAGGCAACAUGGCAAGAGCAGGAAGCCCCUCGGAGAGACACUCCCACCGAAAGUUCUUGCGCAGUGGCCGCCAUUGGCACCCCAGAAGGCAGCCCCCCAGUUCAUUUCAGCCUUCCAGUGCUACACCCACUUCUUGGCUGACACACUUCUGCUCUAAGAGUCUCCCUCCCUUUAUAGAAUGUCAACCAAAGAGUGCUCUCCUACCCUCUCAGCCUCCUCUUUAGCUAGCCUCCCCAUCUCAUCACAACGCAUGUCUGUGACCUUUGGUAAUCAUUUACAGUGCCACAUGGAACCCUGUAUUUUGCACACAGCAAAACAAACAAUGUUUAGCUUUAUUUAUGGUAUUUGAUGCUGUAAAUGGAAAUAAAUAUUGUUCUUUA